UACGAAGGGGCUAGCGUUGCUCGGAAUCACUGGGCGUAAAGCGCACGUAGGCGGCUUUUUAAGUCAGGGGUGAAAUCCUGGAACUCAACUCCAGAACUGCCUUUGAUACUGAGAAGCUUGAGUCCGGGAGAGGUGAGUGGAACUGCGAGUGUAGAGGUGAAAUUCGUAGAUAUUCGCAAGAACACCAGUGGCGAAGGCGGCUCACUGGCCCGGUACGUGACGCUGAGGUGCGAAA
rnacentral:rRNA from 1 species